ACUACACUUUACAUAAUAGCACAAAAAUUAAAGUGCAGUCACCAUGCAGAAUUUAAAUGAUCACAAGUGCAUGUUCCCAUUAGACCUACCUUUUUCAACAGCAGAAUUCUCAUCAUCUGUAUUUAAAAACCCAAAGUACAGCAGCUUUCCUUUACCUGAUUACAGUUUUUAAUAUCCAGGUUGCAUUAAGGAAGAUAAAUUGCCGUCCCAGCGCAAUCUGACUGUUAACACAGAGACGAUCUAUUACAAUAUCAGCUUUUGUCCAUGUCUCGUCUAAUUAGAUUCUCAAAUGGAUACUGGAUCAAUCAAUAAUUUUAAUUUCGCCUGCCUCCUUUUCACCGCAUAUUCGCCGUUUGGUUUUUAACGGAAAACAAAACGACAGAACAAAAGGCAGUAAUUUAUUCGGAACGAGCGCCGCUUACUGCAGAUGAGCUCGGUAACAGACUGCGGGCUGCAGACUCGCAUCGCUCUAAUUAACAUGCAGAUAUGCAUCACCUCAUUGGCAAUUCAAAUUGCGCUUCCCUGUAAUGUACCUCAAAAUUGUUCUACUUCAAACAUUGCAUUUGAUUUGCAAAGCCCCCUGGGUAUCCCAUAAUGUCUCCCUUUAUCCAGACCAUCAGGCGUUUACUGAACAAUCUGCUCUGACUCAACUCCUCCAACAGCUUGCCUUCCCCAAACCCAGUCUGGUUGCUCUGGUACAGGCUUUGUCCUCUCCUUGGCAGGUUUCCUGCAUGGCAUCCUACGCUGUUAAAUAUGGUGGCUUUCCGGAAGACUUCAUUUCCAUGGCACACGGACAGGCAGGCAGGCGGACGCGUGUCUGUCUACUCAGCACAUUAUUAGCAUGCAGUGCAUAUCCACAGUCAUGAAUGCCAGCCUCCCAUUAGGCUCUGUUUUGGUCCCUCCCACGCUCCCGUUUGCGGAAGUUCUGAUUAUUGCGUAUGGAGUGCACGUGAGUGCUCCGCUCGCUGCCGAUGGCAGGGGGCCCAGAGGAGCAACAAGUGGCAGAAUCUGCAGUGUGCAGUUUUUCAGUGUGUUCGCAGCGGCAGGGCUGGCAUGGCGCCAGAUCUGCCAUCUGCUUCCUUCACACGCGCUUUUCCUUCCUGCCAAUUUGCUCAUGACGUUAUGUGCCUCCUGUCCUCAUUUGCGUGUCAGAUACUGGCAGCACACGUUCCUGCCCCCACCUCAGUGAGGGUUCUCCAAGGGGCAGGUGGCAUGUUGUCGGGUCCACGUUGGUCAACGACCACGAAAUCACGCAGGAGAAAAUUUUGCAAAUAAAUAAUACUUCUCCAAAAAAGUCCUUGUGUUAAUGAUUCUUGUUGUUUUUUUGUAGCCAUAUCCUCUAGCAUUCUCCAUUGGUGAGUUCAGUGUGAGCGUUGAAAUGGAUCCUGCUCACAUGGGAACUUUUCCUGCCUGUGAAGACCAGUAUUGUUUUCCCGUCGGGAUGCUGCCAGUGUACACACUCAGCCAUUAAGCUCCUUACAUGGUUGCUCGCUACAGCCGUCUGCUCCUACCUCCACGAGCUCUGCCACCUAGCCAGAAGGAGGGAAUGCUGUGGGAUCUAAUGCGCACGAGCCGUUUGAAGCUGCGGAAAAGUGAAUAAUCAAUUAAGUAUUGAUUUCUUGUAAGAUUUUGUAAAUUUCAAGGCAAGACAAAGAGGAUAGCUUAAGGGAAGAGCAGCAGGGACUUGGUGUAAAUUAGCCAACAAACAGCACGGCGGAAUAAACUAACGGCUCAUCAGGAUCAGUCUCUCAUCGCUCCUGACGGAAUUAAUGCUAGUUUGCGUGAAGACAAUGCCGCUUUUUUAAAUGAGGAAGGCUGGCGAACGAGACCUUAACCCAGCCGCGCAGAGCCGGGCUAAUUACACUUCCCGGCACAAUGGAGCUCAUUUGAAUGUGGCUAUGCAAAUCGCACGCAGCUCAUUUUUAUGGAUCAGAAAGCCAGCCAUGUCGGGAAGAAUUAAAGGCUAUUAUGCGUGCAAAGCAGUUUAUUCCCCCCCACCCCUUACAUGAGGGAAAAUACACUUGAAAAUGAGAGAAGCAUUGGACUGUCUUCAUAACUCAACACAAAAGAUCACACAAGAAACCUUCAAAGGACUCAAAGUGUUUCUUCUCUUUUUUUUUCUAUAAAAACGUGAUCAAAUAUGCGCGUGUCAAGCCCAUUACAAUGAUCCGUGGAUACUGAUGGCGUCCUUUCCGAUUGAUAAUUAUCGUCGCUGGCACACGGAGCCGCGCUGGCAUGGAUGGGGAAAAAACAAGAGGGAAAAUGUUAGCCGCUAAUGAUAUUCAGCAUGCAGAACAUGUCAUAUGCAUGAUGACAACUGGCAAUUUUAAUGAUGCCUUCAUUUUUUUCCUCCCAGAAAACCGGUGCGGACUGGGAAGCAGACGAAAUGAGCAAAGUUCUGCUUGUCUUUAUUCCGCCACAGAUUACUCCAGUGCCACCUCGUUCGAAUAUGCAAUUCUGCGCUUAAAAGAUAAGAAAAAGCACUCUUGAGGCAGCCAAGGGCAAUUAAUGAGCUGGUGUGGAUGAAUCAAUGCUGGAUGUUGCCAUGUUUCUCCUUGUUUCUUCUCCCACCGAAGCAGUUCAGGAACCUCCGUGCCGUCCUCCACCGGCUGCCGUCUGUGUUUGUGGAUUCUCCAGCCUUUCCAGCCGGGCGCGUGCCUCUGUUUUGCAUAUAUGCAUACGCUGUGUGGCGCUGGAAUGAAGGGGGCAUGCUAAACAAGCAAAUUUACAUGUCUAUGCAUAAUGGCAGGGGGCGCAGAGGAGGGCGCGUGCUGGCAGGGCUGAGGGAGGAGGGGAGAAGUACAAGAGGAUGUGAUGUAGGGAAACACCUGCACUGAAGGAUCUUGGAGGAUCUUGUAGAGGAACAUUAUGACAAGCCCCUGACAGCUACCCCCCCCCACAUCCUUCUCGUGGGAACAUACCAGGAGGUGUGGCAUGAUUACGUCUCCUCGCCUUGCCCACGUGGAAACGUACCUCGCUGGCACAGAUUGGACGGCUCUGCUGAGUGUGGCACUGACAGUCCUGUGGGAAGCCCACUGCUUCAUUCACGCUUUUUCUCUCACGGGUCUUGGAUGGAUGGUGGCCCAUUGGCUGUGUAAUGGACACAGGAAGUGCAGACUCAGCAUGCAGAAAUUCAGAUAAGCACUCUAUUAAAAAAAGUCUUUAAUUUAUUGAUCAGUGAGGUGAUGAGUUGGAUGUGAUGAAGGGGGAAGGAAUGUGUGUGUGAGAUAUUUUAAUCUCUAUCCGUCACUUAUUAUUAGUCAUGAUGGAGUUCUGAAGCACAUUUUAUGAGGAAUGACAAGUUAGGGCAAGCCAGAAUCAUCUAGUUUCUUUGUUUCUCACACACAAACAUUUUCUGAGUUCAGACUCAGAGAAACAGAUUCAGAACUGUUAAUAGGGUGCACAAUUUGUGCUCCCUAUUUG
ensembl:lncRNA